GGCCCACCAAGGCGACGAUUGGUAGCCGGACUGAGAGGUUGAACGGCCACAUUGGGACUGAGACACGGCCCAGACUCCUACGGGAGGCAGCAGUGGGGGAUAUUGCACAAUGGGGGAAACCCUGAUGCAGCGACGCCGCGUGGAGGAAGAAGGUUUUCGGAUUGUAAACUCCUGUCGUUAGGGACGAUAAUGACGGUACCUAACAAGAAAGCACCGGCUAACUACGUGCCAGCAGCCGCGGUAAAACGUAGGGUGCAAGCGUUGUCCGGAAUUACUGGGUGUAAAGGGAGCGCAGGCGGACCGGCAAGUUGGAAGUGAAAACUAUGGGCUCAACCCAUAAAUUGCUUUCAAAACUGCUGGCCUUGAGUAGUGCAGAGGUAGGUGGAAUUCCCGGUGUAGCGGUGGAAUGCGUAGAUAUCGGGAGGAACACCAGUGGCGAAGGCGACCUACUGGGCACCAACUGACGCUGAGGCUCGAAAGCAUGGGUAGCAAACAGGAUUAGAUACCCUGGUAGUCCAUGCCGUAAACGAUGAUUACUAGGUGUUGGAGGAUUGACCCCUUCAGUGCCGCAGUUAACACAAUAAGUAAUCCACCUGGGGAGUACGACCGCAAGGUUGAAACUCAAAGGAAUUGACGGGGGCCCGCACAAGCAGUGGAGUAUGUGGUUUAAUUCGAAGCAACGCGAAGAACCUUACCAGGUCUUGACAUCCGAUGCAUAGUGCAGAGAUGCAUGAAGUCCUUCGGGACAUCGAGACAGGUGGUGCAUGGUUGUCGUCAGCUCGUGUCGUGAGAUGUUGGGUUAAGUCCCGCAACGAGCGCAACCCUUAUUGCCAGUUACUACGCAAGAGGACUCUGGCGAGACUGCCGUUGACAAAACGGAGGAAGGUGGGGAUGACGUCAAAUCAUCAUGCCCUUUAUGACCUGGGCUACACACGUACUACAAUGGCGUUUAACAAAGAGAAGCAAGACCGCGAGGUGGAGCAAAACUCAAAAACAACGUCUCAGUUCAGAUUGCAGGCUGCAACUCGCCUGCAUGAAGUCGGAAUUGCUAGUAAUCGCGGAUCAGCAUGCCGCGGUGAAUACGUUCCCGGGCCUUGUACACACCGCCCGUCACACCAUGAGAGCCGGGGGGACCCGAAGUCGGUAG
rnacentral:rRNA from 1 species